rnacentral:rRNA from 1 species
ACGAACGCUGGCGGCGCGCCUAACACAUGCAAGUCGAACGAGAGAUGAGGAGCUUGCUCUUCAAAUCGAGUGGCGAACGGGUGAGUAACGCGUGAGGAACCUGCCUCAAAGAGGGGGACAACAGUUGGAAACGACUGCUAAUACCGCAUAAGCCCACGGCUCGGCAUCGAGCAGAGGGAAAAGGAGCGAUCCGCUUUGAGAUGGCCUCGCGUCCGAUUAGCUAGUUGGUGAGGUAACGGCCCACCAAGGCAACGAUCGGUAGCCGGACUGAGAGGUUGAACGGCCACAUUGGGACUGAGACACGGCCCAGACUCCUACGGGAGGCAGCAGUGGGGAAUAUUGCACAAUGGGGGAAACCCUGAUGCAGCGACGCCGCGUGGAGGAAGAAGGUCUUCGGAUUGUAAACUCCUGUUGUUGAGGAAGAUAAUGACGGUACUCAACAAGGAAGUGACGGCUAACUACGUGCCAGCAGCCGCGGUAAAACGUAGGUCACAAGCGUUGUCCGGAAUUACUGGGUGUAAAGGGAGCGCAGGCGGGAGAACAAGUUGGAAGUGAAAUCCAUGGGCUCAACCCAUGAACUGCUUUCAAAACUGUUUUUCUUGAGUAGUGCAGAGGUAGGCGGAAUUCCCGGUGUAGCGGUGGAAUGCGUAGAUAUCGGGAGGAACACCAGUGGCGAAGGCGGCCUACUGGGCACCAACUGACGCUGAGGCUCGAAAGUGUGGGUAGCAAACAGGAUUAGAUACCCUGGUAGUCCACACCGUAAACGAUGAUUACUAGGUGUUGGAGGAUUGACCCCUUCAGUGCCGCAGUUAACACAAUAAGUAAUCCACCUGGGGAGUACGACCGCAAGGUUGAAACUCAAAGGAAUUGACGGGGGCCCGCACAAGCAGUGGAGUAUGUGGUUUAAUUCGACGCAACGCGAAGAACCUUACCAAGUCUUGACAUCCCUUGACGAUGCUGGAAACAGUAUUUCUCUUCGGAGCAAGGAGACAGGUGGUGCAUGGUUGUCGUCAGCUCGUGUCGUGAGAUGUUGGGUUAAGUCCCGCAACGAGCGCAACCCUUAUGGUCAGUUACUACGCAAGAGGACUCUGGCCAGACUGCCGUUGACAAAACGGAGGAAGGUGGGGAUGACGUCAAAUCAUCAUGCCCCUUAUGACCUGGGCUACACACGUACUACAAUGGCGUUAAACAAAGAGAAGCAAGACCGCGAGGUGGAGCAAAACUCAGAAACAACGUCCCAGUUCGGACUGCAGGCUGCAACUCGCCUGCACGAAGUCGGAAUUGCUAGUAAUCGUGGAUCAGCAUGCCACGGUGAAUACGUUCCCGGGCCUUGUACACACCGCCCGUCACACCAUGAGAGUUGGGAAUACCCGAAGCCUGUGAGCCAACUGUAAAGAGGCAGCAGUCGAAGGUAGAAUCAAUGAUUUGGGUU